AACAUCGAAAAACCCUUCCAAUCGAUUUCACCGUCGCAGGGAAAUUUGGAAGAUGGGAAAAUUAUCGCCAUCAUUUCGUUCAAUUCUCUCCACCUCCGUCAUUCACAAACCGACCCUUUCUCCGGCGGCGCCUCCGCUCUCAUCCAAGAAACCAACCCCAAAACCAUCCCGGAAAACCCCAUCGGGUCAGAGCUCCGGCCACCCCGUAAAGCCUAAACUCCCAACGGUGUUCAAAUCGGCUAGUCUCGCCGACGCCAAGAAGCUCUACUCCUCCUUCAUCUCUACUUCAAAAGCCCCUUUCAACCUUCGAGUUCAUAAUUCCCUCCUUCAGUCUUACGCUUCAAUAGCUACACUUAAUGAUUCCAUCUCUUUCCUCCGCCAUAUGUCCAAAGUCCAACCUUCCUUCUCGCCCGAUCAAUCGACUUUCCAUAUCUUACUCUCUACCUCGGAGAAUCGUCCCGAUUCCUCUCUCGCCUCGGUUCGGAAAAUUCUCAAUUUCAUGGUUACCAAUGGCUUCAAUCCUGACAAGGUAACCGCUGAUCUUGCUGUGCGUUCGCUUUGUUCGGUAGGUCUCGUUGAUGAAGCUGUAGAGUUAGUUAAGGAAUUAUCGCUAAAACACACGCCUCUUGAUAUUUAUACAUAUAAUCAUCUCGUUAAGCAACUUUGCAAGUCCAGAGCUCUGUCUACGGUUUAUAAUUUUAUAGUUGAAAUGCGUAGUAGCUGUGGUGCGAAGCCCGAUCUUGUUACUUAUACGAUCUUGAUAGAUAAUGUGUGUAAUAGCAAUAAUCUACGUGAGGCUAUGCGGUUGGUAAGUCUGUUGUAUAAGGAGGGUUUUAAGCCGGAUUGCUUUGUUUAUAACACAAUUAUGAAAGGUUAUUGUAUGGUUGGCAGGGGCGCCGAGGCAAUUGGAGUCUAUAAGAAAAUGAAGGAGGUGGGAUUGGAGCCCGAUCUUGUAACUUUUAAUACAUUGAUUUUUGGCUUAUCGAAGUCGGGGCGGGUUAAGGAAGCCAUAGACUUUUUGGACAGUAUGGCAGAGAUGGGUCAUUUCCCUGACACAGUUACUUACACUUCAUUGAUGAAUGGAAUGUGUCGUGAGGGUAAUGCUUUAGGAGCAUUGUCAUUGCUUAAGGAGAUGGAGGCAAAGGGGUGUAACCCCAAUUCCUUCACGUAUAAUACGUUACUCCAUGGGUUGUCAAAGUCUAGGCUUUUGGAUAGAGGGAUUGAAUUGUAUGGUUUGAUGAAGUCUAGUGAUAUGAAGCUUGAAUCAGCUUCUUAUUCUACUUUUGUGAGGGCGCUAUGCAGGAGUGGUAGAAUUGCUGAAGCAUAUGAAGUGUUUGAUUAUGCAGUUGAGAGUAAAAGUCUGACUGAUGUUUCUGCAUAUUUGUCGUUAGAGAGUACGUUGAAGUCUCUGAAGAAUGCGAGGGAGCAAGCCCAUGCUGUAUAACUGGGCCUGAGCAUUUGGCUGGCUAAUGGAAAAAUUGGUUUAGCGGAAAGCCGGAAACUUGGUGAAGCUUGAACGACAGGUGAAAGCCCGUUAAUAGAGGUUUCUGGCUAAACAUUUGUAGAAGAACAUGGAUCCAAAUUUUUAUAAAGGUAAAACAUACUAUCCAAGGAGAAAAGGAGGAACUACUUGAGUUCACUCCUCGUAAAACAAUCACAAGGAAGGACUUCAAUAACCUUAUUUAAGAGAUCUUUUUUCACCCAGAAAGAAAAUGCAAUAAAGAGAGAUACUUUCCCGCACAAACAUCACACUCAUGCAGAUUCAUCUACUAAGCUGAUCGUCCUUAUGAUAACGAAUAUACGAUCACUCCAUACCAUUGGACAAAGAAACUUAUUGAUGAAUUGCAAGUUUUGAAUAAGAGAAGUAUUAUCAUAAAAUAAUAUUAGAUACUGAAACAUACAUUCACCCUUAUUUUAUAAUGGUCCUCACUGGUACACACUUGCGAUCUGCAAUCGAUGCGUGUAUGAAAUCAGCAGUGGAUAUAAAGACCAAGUUGGCAAUGGAUUUUCAUUUCAUUCAAAUUCAUGCACCUUACGGUGAAGGUGAUUGCUGUGUUGUUUUGUUCAGUGCCCUUCACAUGUUCGACAAAACGCCUGACUUAACCUCUUCUCGUGUCUCCCUCAUGGCGUCUCUUAAGGACUAGGGCCUCGUUGUCUUCUCUCAAUUUGUGAUCAUGUGGUUUGUUUUUUCUCUUCCUUGGUCCAUCCCAUGAACUUAAAAUCUCAAACCCAGUUUCUCCUUUUAGCUAUUUCACUUCGUAAUGAUGGGAAAUUUUAGUUUGUUGUUCCUCUUAAACUGAAAAUGAUGGUGUUACUCUGUUAGAUAGAGCAAGAUCAUGCAGUAGGCUACUUGAUUCUUGUGUUUGAGUUUCCGUAGAUUUAGACAAAAAGGCAAAUAAAAGAAUGGCAUUUUUCUGACAGAAUGAUUAAUGCACAUUGUUUAGGAUUUUUCAUUCAACUUUUUGCCUUGUUCUUUUCAUCUAAUUAGGUAUGAUCGUCUUUUUACUCAAAUUUCUCUUCCCCCCAUUAUGUUAGCCGCAUGCCCCGCCCUUUGUCUGUUGCCGCUGCAUUAGAAAGAUUACUAUAAUCUUGGCUAUGGGAGUAACAAUGUUUGCUCAUUGCAAGCCUAGAUUCAUGGCUACAAUCAUUAACAAAACUAUCUUUUAAGAGGGGUUAGGCACUUUUUAUCUCUAUAUAUAUUCACAUCCCUCUUGAUGGGUGGAGACAAAACAUGGGUCGGGAAUAUUUAGGGUUGAAAUUAGCUGAUUCUCUUUUUGCUCACAUGAUUAGUCAUUUGAUUAAACCUUAAAUUAUGUUGGGUUUAGGCCCAGAUGGUGAAACCCCAAUUAUUGAGGAGGCAAGGUGGCAUUGCUAUCAUUAUGGCCUGCAACUAUGCCAACAUGUUCAAAUACUUUAUUACUCUAUUUUGUUGUCAGAGCUUGAUGUUGGCCAAUCGGUGGAGCAUAUGAUUAAAAGAUUUGACUUAGAUGCUCAGAUUGUAGGGUGAAACUGUUGCAAGAGAAUCAGAGAGAGCUGAAGCUAUGGUCCAUAACGUUGUGACUUUGACAUGCAUGCACAGGGACUUCGUAAGCUUCUCUUUUCCAUAUAAAUUAGCUUAAAAGUUGGUUGGUUUUGCUCAAACCAUUCAAUUCUCUUGUGAAUUCCACCAAUUUACAAAUCAAAGAUGGUGAUCACAUCGAUAUUCACCGGUGCCCACCAACCUAUUAGGUCGGUUAGCUUGCCUACAAGGGUGGAGCUCGAGUCAGAACCGUUGUUACAAAGCCUAAAAUCCUUUCAAGUUUCGUCUUGCAAGGCAAAAACAACACCGUUAGGGCUUGAGGAGAUUCAAGUUGCAUUGGUUGGACUAGCAGAGUUGUAUAACUCUGUUGGGAAGCUUGUUCAAUCUUCUUCCACCCAGCAGGCUCUUGUUCACUAUAAGGAAGGGAAGCUUGUGGAAGAGGCUUUAAAUGAAUCUGUUGUAUUGAUAGACUCUUGCAGCUCAGCAAGAGACAUAAUCCUUACGAUGAAACAAAUUAUACAAACCCUUCAAUCCGCUUUACGUCGAAAGUGUGCAAAUUCCAUUGUCGAAAGCCAUGUCCGUGCCUACUUCAGCUACCGAAGGAAGGUGAAGAAAGAGAUCGGAAGCUACAUCGGCGUGCUGAAGCGAAUGGAGAAUGAUAGAACAACAGACUUCUUUUUAUUAUGGGAUAUACAAAAUCAUGAUUUGUUGCCUGUAAUCAAACUGCUGAGAGAAGCAAGAAGCGUCAGCAUCUCUAUAUUUGGAGAGCUUCUAGCGUUCCUAUCGGCGCCGGUAGUGAAGGGUAAGGCUAGAGGGUGGUCAUUGGUGUCGCAAUUGAUGCCGGUGAUCAAGUCUGGAUCGGGGAAGGGACAGAAGACAGUAAAUGAGAUGGAGAAUGUGGAUAUUGCUCUCAAUUCUCUCCUUGGCCAAGGGAGAGAGGCUUGUGGGAAUGAUAACAAAGCUGAAGUUCAAAUUGCACAAAGAAGGAUUGGAACAUUGGCAUCAAGUUUUGAAGGAAUAGAGAGUGGAUUAGAUAGCAUGUUCAAAUGUUUAGUUAAACAUAGAGUGUGUUUUCUGAACAUGUUGGUUCAUUGAAUUACUGAUCUCAAACAUUAAAUAUUAUUCUUGUACAGUAAUGACAAUCUCAUCUAAGAUGAAUAUAACUAUCCAUUCUUUCAUACCAUGAAA